rnacentral:tRNA from 1 species
UCCUUGGUGGCUGAAACAGUAAAGAAUCUGCCUGCAAUGCAGGAGACCCUGGUUCAAUCCCUGGCUUAGGAA